GCAAAGCAUCUGAUAUGAAAUACACUCUUUUUUCUCUGUUGUGAAAUGGAUGGAUGCACUGUGUUUGGGGUUCUUUUGCCAGAUGAAGCAAAAGAGAAGGGGAGUUAGAACAUCUAGUUAAUUCACACAGGGGAUGUUAGUGGAAGGGGCUUCUUUCUUUCUUGAAGCUUUUCAUUUUGUUUGAGAUGACUUUGUCCAGUGUAGCCCUGGAGACUCAUCUUGGCAGAGAAAGCAGAGCUUCUAUGUGGAAACUUAGUUGAUACGUAUAAACUACCUUGCCUGAUAUUAAACUCGGGUCCCUCCCUGCACUGGGAGUCUCCAUUCCGCUUCAUCUUCUGCUUCCUUCAUUUGAAAGUAACUUCUUUAUUCUGUGCGUACCAAAUAGCUGCUCCAGUUUGCAUUUUGCCUUUGAAGUAAAUGUAGUGGCUGCCAUAUGUAAUGCACAGUCUCAUAAGGUUGGUCUCUUUCCUUCCAUCUGGCAUAUUUUGCCUUCUCUGCUCAGAGUUUCAUUUUUUCUAUCAGAGGAAGAACUCACUGCACCGGUCCCUCACUGCCGUCCCUUAUGAAGCAUCCUACCUGUCCAGAAACCUCAAAAUGAAAAGAAACUUCGUGAUGAUUUUCAUAAAAUGAAAAAAAUUCUGUUCAGGCUCGUAAUAGCAGUUCAUUAAUUUCCUUCCAUCCUUCCUCACCUCUUAUAUCAAACAUCUGUGCUUUCAAAUCCUCUUCACACUGCUAUGAAAUCUAACUACUGCUACUGUUGUGCUUUCCAUUUUUAUUUGUGACAAUUCUAAGUUGCACAGGAAUGAACUUUUCUACUUUCUUUGUUAGCGUUUCCUCUUGAAGAUUCAUUUUUAUAUUGUAAAUUAUGUGGCUCCCUAGAACAGUUUUAAAAUCAGCAUCACCAUAGAAUUUCAAAUGCUCUGCUGUGAGUACAAAGGCAGUGGGGUGGAAGAGGACCUUAGUGGUCCUUUCUAAGUUAAACUUCUCUACUGUCCUUUGUGUGCAGAUAGGUACAGUAUUGACUUCUUACACCUGUAGCAUACGUUCUGUAACUAUAAACCCUGUUUUGGUGGACUUUGCUGAAGUCAGUGAAUGUGGCAAAAGAAUUCCCCUACAGAAUUAUCCUAAUAUGUGCUGUGUGCCUCUCUCCCUUUGCUUUCCUACGAGAGAAGUAAGUAGAGAGGAAUUCUCUCCCUUCAUCUGAGUCAUGUAACUCUUUGUUCCAAAGCUGCAGACAGUAAUUAGGUUUGAUCUGAUGCGUGAUCUCACAGUUGGUGCUGGAUGCUCUGUACAAGUGCUUCUCCUUCAGUGAACUAUCAAUGACAAUGGCAUUAUCAAUAUUCGCUCUGAGCAUCCUCCAAGGAAAGCUAAUGAAGCAUUCUUCACAAGCAGCUUCUGUCCUUUGUCUUCUCACGAGGAAGACUCAGCCUCUUAGAGCAGUCAUGAAGUGCGUCAUGUAGAAGUUGGGCAGCUUGCCCACAGCUUAUUGCCUUUACUCAGAUUUGAAGUUGUCACUUAAGCGUUCUUUCCCCUACCAAAAUGUCAAAGGCAUUUUCCCGAGGGACAGAGCCCACGUCAUUAUGAAAGAGAAGAAACAGCUCAUCCCAAAUCAAGGUACAAAGCCCUGAAUCCAUGGGUGAAGGAAGGGGAUGGGAAUUGCAUUUAAAGGAAUGAAGGAAUGAUCUUUGGAGAACUUUAUGAAAUUUUAUCAAAGCUGUUAUUUUGUGCAAAACCUUUUUGUUAGUUGUUGUUUCUGUUAAUUGACUUUCACUUGUUUUGAUUUAAUGUAACAGAGCAGCAGGAGUGGGAAUCCGCUACUGAACACACUCAGAAUAAUCUCAGAGGUUCUGACCUGGGUGUUUUCUUGCUCUGUGAUGGGCUGAAGGGUUUGCAGAAUACUACAGAAUGAGCACACUGAAGCUUCGGGCUGUUUGACAUGAAGGAAAAUAAGUCUGGCGUGACUGGAGCUUGGAAAUACAGCACGUGAGUGUCCUGUGGGAAUUGGGUUCUGGAUAAUGCAGCCACAAACAGGAACGGAGACCAGAGCCUGAAAUAAGGCUUGUUCCACAAAAGAUGUAAUGGAACUGACCAUGCAAUUACAGAUCAUUUUUAAAACAAGUGGUGAGAACAGGCAGCAUAAGGAGCCUUUCUACAGAGUGGAACUCUCAGCCUUUCUCUCUGUCUGGUCAGCACUCUGCCCAAGAUGUAGGACAAGGCUGCAGGUCAAUGACUGCCCAUACUGACACUCCUUUUUCAGACCAGAUGGAGGGCUUGGCUUGUGUUCUUUUGGGAUGUAUGUUUACUUCUGCAGCACUGCUGCCACUGCAGCCCCGUAGCAUAAUCCAGGUUGGGCUUCCUCGGGAAGUGUUUUGGGACAUGUUGUAGUAACUGAAUUUUGGGAGGCUUUCCAGCAAUGCAGUGUAGUUCAGGUUGGUUCUGAUCCUAGAUGCAGUGCACCAGUAACUUCCUGGUGUGAGAACUGUAAGGGGAGAGAACUGCUGGGGAUAGGUGAGUACAUUUGCCUGUUUGGUUUUCUAAACUGAGCUAAAUAAACUUAUGGGUUUGUCCCUUCCUGAAUGUAAAAGCAGCGAUAAUGAAAUUGCUGCCCCAGGAGAUGGCGCUGAGAAACCUUCUGAACAGGCCUGGAGCCCCCGGGUUUGAGUUGACGUUUAGAGGUCUCUGAAGAUAGUGCACUGAUCCAUUGUCUGAGCAGCAAUCAUCAAAUUAUCUGGAUGGGGGCUGGAACCUGACGUGGGGACAGAACAGCAAUUUCAUCACAGCUGUCCUGCUUUUCUUUAUUUCUCUGUUUGGGUUUCCUCAUGUGCUGUACACAACGAUGUUUUUAUUGGAGGCUUAGGAUCAAACUCACUGAUCAAAC
rnacentral:lncRNA from 1 species